rnacentral:lncRNA from 1 species
AUGCGCUCCGGGAGCCCAACCCCCAGCGCCGCCUGGGAGCGAGGGAGGGUGGGUGGAGGGAAAGCAGAGCAAGUGAGGAAGCGGAGAGUGCAGCCGCGAGCCGGCCGCCACCCCCACCGCCUCGCUGCCUCCGUUGGGGCCCCGCCCCUCCGGCGCGUCCCUUCCCCCCAGCGCUCCUCCCCUCAUCCUCCCUCCCUCCCUCCCUCUCGAGGUUCCCCUCCCCCUCCCAGGCUCAGGCUCCCUUCCCCCUCGCCUUUCCUCCUCCAGGCUCCCUUCCCCCUCCACGUUCUCUUUCCCCACCCCUCCUCCAGGCUCCCCUCCCCCCCUGCCUCCUCUCCCUCCCUUCCUCCUCCCAGGCUCCCCUCCUCCUCCGGGGUCCUCCUCACUUCCUCCCUCCCCCACCCCUCCCGGCGCCCUUCCCCUCCCCCUACACGGGUCGUCCUCCCCUCCCCUCCAUCCCCCUCCUCGCUCCCUCCUCCCUCCCCGCGCGCCGGGCGCAGGCCGCUCGGGUUUGUUUUGCUGUGCGGGCCGCCGCCGCCGCCGCCGCCGCCGCCGCGGGCCCGGAGCUCAUUUGUGCCUGGCUGGUCCCCGCGCUCCCCGGUGCCGAGCCGGAGCCGUUGGCCGCUCGCGCGCUUGGCUCUCUCCCUUAGUAACAGCUCCCCUCCUGCCUCGGUGCUGCGCCCUGCCCCGCGCCCCUCCCCCGCCGGACCCGCCGCCCGGCUGUCAGCGCCAGCACCCCAGGGCGCCUCAGGGUGCCCACGGCGGCCAGGAGGGGAGCGCCGCGCAUCCGGGAGGGGACAGCGUCGCCAGGCAGGUGAGCGCGGGCCCGGGGCGGCGGGCGCUGCGAACUUGGCCUGGGCGCGGGGGAGGGGCGGCCGCGCUCACGUGCCGCCCCCCCUCCCGGGUCCGGGUGGCCGGGCUGCGGGAGGCACUCGCCUUGGCGAGCGGGCGUGGGGGCGCAGGCUGGAUGCGGGGCCGCAGCCGCUCGAAGCUCGCUUAGCGGGGGAGCGGGCUGGGCUUGGGAUGGGCGCCCGUCCGCGCUGGGGCGCGCGGGCUGCAGUCACCCGGUCGCGCUCCCUUCUGGGCCCCGCCGCGCGGAGCCUCCGGGCAGCGGCGGGGGCUGCGGGCGGCUGUUGGGGUGCGGCGGGGGGAGGGCGCGGGCGGGUCUCGCUCACUCGGGACGCGCGUGUGGUUACCUUGUCUCUGUGGCCCCUCCACAAGGAGGCCCUGGCCACAGUCUCGGUAAAGUUGGGUCAGAAGUGUAUACAGUUGGCAAACUUAUUGCCAGCUUCCUGAAUUUCCAUGGAUUUGAUGUGCUGUGAUUCACUCAUUGAGAAAAGUAGAGGUAAAGCCCUUUUUUCUAAAGUCUGAGAUUAAUACCUGCCAUGUUGUGAUUAAAAUAAUUUCAAAUCCAAUUAGAUAUGUUUCUCACAAAUCAAAAUAUAUAGAAUGCAUGACCAUGGCUUAUGGUCGUGUCUGAUGAACAGUCCACUGAACCCUAGUGCAUUUAUGCUCUCCAAGAUUGAGCUGAAUAGGGAGGGGGUCAUGCGUGACCUUCCUCCGAUGCUAACUGCAUUAGCCUCUCAGGAAUGUAGGUACUCAGUUUUUGCUGCUGUUCAUGACAUUGCUAUCCUGGGGAGAGUCUCUGUGGUGGAUGCCAAAGUGAGUAUUUGAACAUGCAAGGUUUGGUAUGGAAAAUCUUAAAUUGAAUUUGGGGACACUGAA